rnacentral:rRNA from 1 species
CGGAUAAAAGGUACUCCGGGGAUAACAGGCUGAUACCGCCCAAGAGUUCACAUCGACGGCGGUGUUUGGCACCUCGAUGUCGGCUCAUCACAUCCUGGGGCUGUAGCCGGUCCCAAGGGUAUGGCUGUUCGCCAUUUAAAGUGGUACGCGAGCUGGGUUUAGAACGUCGUGAGACAGUUCGGUCCCUAUCUGCCGUGGGCGUUUGAGAAUUGAGAGGGGUUGCUCCUAGUACGAGAGGACCGGAGUGAACGAACCGCUGG